GAUAAACGCUGGCGGCGUGCUUAACACAUGCAAGUCGAACGAAGUUUUUCCUUCGGGAGAAACUUAGUGGCGGACGGGUGAGUAACGCGUGGGUAACCUGCCCUGUACAGGGGGACAACAGCUGGAAACGGCUGCUAAUACCGCAUAAGCACUUAGCACUGCAUGGUGCAUAGGGAAAAGGAGCAAUCCGGUACAGGAUGGACCCGCGUCUGAUUAGCCAGUUGGCAGGGUAACGGCCUACCAAAGCGACGAUCAGUAGCCGAUCUGAGAGGAUGUACGGCCACAUUGGGACUGAGACACGGCCCAGACUCCUACGGGAGGCAGCAGUGGGGAAUAUUGCACAAUGGAGGAAACUCUGAUGCAGCGACGCCGCGUGAGUGAAGAAGUAUUUCGGUAUGUAAAGCUCUAUCAGCAGGGAAGAAAAUGACGGUACCCGACUAAGAAGCACCGGCUAAAUACGUG
rnacentral:rRNA from 1 species